AGUUACGUAGUAUAGUAGUCAGCGCGUACGCCUACCGCGUACUUAGCCUUAGGGCCUCUAGCUAUCCUAGGGUUAAGCAAGGCUUCGUGCGAGAUCGUAGGUUCGAAUCCUAUCGUAGCCG